AGAUGUGAAGGCGAUCUGACUGCAACAUCUGUCACCCCAUUGAUUGCCAGGGUUGAUUCACCUGAUCUGGCUGGCUAGGUGGGUGUCCCCUUUCUCCCCCACGGCUCCAUGCAUGUCCCUCUUGAAGCUGCGAAACUGUGUGCUUGGUUGAAGAGGAUGGCCAUCCCCACUAGAGGACCAUUUCUUCAGUCAAGGAUAUAUGAGGGGGGAACCCCAAAAAGCCUGGAAUUAUCUUUUGGAGAGCACCCUCCUUGUGGUACAGGCUUUCUCCGCUA
rnacentral:snRNA from 1 species